rnacentral:rRNA from 1 species
UUGAUCCUGGCUCAGAACGAACGCUAGCGGUAUGCUUUACACAUGCAAGUCGAGCGGUAGUCGCCUAGCGACGAGAGCGGCAAACGGGUGAGUAACGCGUGAAUGACGUGCCCCUAGGACUGGAAUAACUUGUUGAAAAACAGGCUAAUGCCGGAUAAGCUCACAUAUUCGUGUAAGUGAGAAAAGAAGGUUUGCUUUACCUAGGGAUCGGUUUGCGUCCCAUCAGCUAGUCGGUGAGGUAAAAGCUCACCUAGGCUUUGACGGGUAGCUAGUCUGAGAGGAUGAUUAGCCACAUUGGAACUGAGAUACGGUCCAAACUCCUACGGGAGGCAGCAGUGGGGAAUAUUGGUCAAUGGGCGAAAGCCUGAACCAGCAAUACCGCGUGAGUGAUGAAGGCCUUAGGGUUGUAAAACUCUGUCGAAAGGAAAGAAAAAAUCUAGCGAAAUCUAGAUAUUGACGUUACCUUUAAAGGAAGCACCGGCUAACUUUGUGCCAGCAGCCGCGGUAAUACAAGGGGUGCAAGCGUUGUUCGGAUUUACUGGGCGUAAAGAGCGUGUAGGCUGCAUAUCAAGUCAGUUGUGAAAGCCCUUGGCUCAACCAAGGAAGUGCAAAUGAUACUGUUGUGCUAGAGUGUCGGAGAGGAUGAUGGAAUUUCCGGUGUAGAGGUGGAAUUCGUAGAUAUCGGAAGGAACACCAGUGGCGAAGGCGAUCAUCUGGAAGAAUACUGACGCUGAGACGCGAAAGCAUGGGGAGCAAACAGGAUUAGAUACCCUGGUAGUCCAUGCCGUAAACGAUGAAUGCUAGGUGUUGCGGAUAUUGACCUCUGCAGUGCCGAAGUUAACACAUUAAGCAUUCCGCCUGGGGAGUACGGUCGCAAGAUUAAAACUCAAAGGAAUUGACGGGGGCCCGCACAAGCGGU